AUUGAACGCUGGCGGCAGGCCUAACACAUGCAAGUCGAGCGGAUGAAGGGAGCUUGCUCCUGGAUUCAGCGGCGGACGGGUGAGUAAUGCCUAGGAAUCUGCCUUGUAGUGGGGGAUAACGUCCGGAAACGGGCGCUAAUACCGCAUACGUCCUGAGGGAGAAAGUGGGGGAUCUUCGGACCUCACGCUAUCAGAUGAGCCUAGGUCGGAUUAGCUAGUUGGUGGGGUAAAGGCCUACCAAGGCGACGAUCCGUAACUGCUCUGAGAGGAUGAUCAGUCACACUGGAGCUGAGACACGGUCCAGACUCCUACGGGAGGCAGCAGUGGGGAAUAUUGGACAAUGGGCGAAAGCCUGAUCCAGCCAUGCCGCGUGUGUGAAGAAGGUCUUCGGAUUGUAAAGCACUUUAAGUUGGGAGGAAGGGCAGUAAGUUAAUACCUUGCUGUUUUGACGUUACCAACAGAAUAAGCACCGGCUAACUUCGUG
rnacentral:rRNA from 1 species